UACGGAAGGGGCUAGCGUUGUUCGGAAUUACUGGGCGUAAAGCGCGCGUAGGCGGCUUGGCGAGUGAGGCGUGAAAGUCCUGGGCUCAACCUGGGGACGGCGUUUCAGACUGCCUGGCUUGAGUCCGGAAGAGGGUGGUGGAAUUCCGAGUGUAGAGGUGAAAUUCGUAGAUAUUCGGAGGAACACCGGUGGCGAAGGCGGCCACCUGGUCCGGAACUGACGCUGAAGUGCGAAAGCGUGGGGAGCAAACAGG
rnacentral:rRNA from 2 species